AUGCAUGUUUGUAUGAAUAUCUGUACAUGUAUGUUUCUGUGUAUAUAUGUAUACAUGUGUAUAUGUAAACAUGCGUAUAUGUUUCUCUGUGCUUGUGCAUGUGUGUGUUUGUGUGUGCAUAUAUCUACUGCAUGCAUGUACGUGCUUGUACACAUGUUUGUGUGCAUGUGUGUAUGUGUGUGCUUACAGGUGUGCACAUUGCAGAGAAAGGUAAGCACACAGACCAUGUGUCAAAAUCAGAAGUUGCCCUCUGAUCUCGCAGGCAGUGGGGAGUCCUGUCUUUGUAAAACAGCGAAGAAUGGACGUCAUCCCUGUCAACACUUGUCCUUCAAGUUUGGGAGACGAGCUGGACAACACCGACAAGUCCAAGAGCCACUUUCUCUCUCCCCCACAUCACUGCCCGGCCUCACCUCCCCCAGGCUUGGCCACAUCUCCUCCCCAUCCACGUGGCUCUGCACACCUGUGCUGCUGCCAGCUCCGUCACUUCUCACCUGGGAGACGCAGGGGACUGACCUCUGCAGGGCAACCUGAGGAACAAUAGCAAAAGCCACAAGGAUCCGCGGAAGCAGCAAUGAAUCACAGCCUGCUGGAAUAUUGCUCUGGUGCUGCACUCGGCUCGCCUGUCGGACAGGAAAUGAAAGGCAGUGAUUAGGGCAGCCACUGGGGACUCCUGAGUCCCGGCUCCAACUCCCCAGCCCUCCAUCACUGCCCGCCAGUUAUGUCGCUGUGACGCCGGAACAUCUGGCUGAAACGUGAAACAUGCCGUCCGUUUUCAGCAGAUGACUCACUGAGUGUUGUACCUUUCUUUUAUUUAUUUUUAAAAUAUUUUAUUUAUUUAUUUGAGAGGUAGAGUUACAGACAGAGAGGGAGGGAGAGAGAGAGAGAGAGAGAGAGAGAGAGAGAGAGAUUUAUUUUCCAUCCUCUGGUUCACUCCCUAGAUGGCUACAACGGCUGGACUUGCACCCAUCCGAAGCCAGGAGCCAGGAGCUUCUUCCAGGUCUCCCACGUGGGUGCAGGGGCCCAAGGAGCUGGGCCAUCUUCUACUGCUUUCCCGGGUCAUAGCAGAGAGCUGGAUCGGAAGUGGAGCAGCCGGGACAUGAACCAGCUCCCAUACAGGAUGCUGGUGCUGCUGGCAGAGGCUUAGGCCACUGCACCACAGUGCCGGCCCCUCCUUUAUUUUUAAAUUGUGGUAAAACACAUACUACUUAUCGUGGUACUGUUUUUAAGUGCUUGGCUCACUAGUGUGGGGUAGGCUCAGUGUGGCACAGCCAUCACCACCAUCCAUCUCGAGAGCUUUUCCAACAUCCCUGAUAUAAACUCUGGAACUAUGUAAGGAAGAACCUGGGCCCUCUCCUUUGCCAGCCCCUGGCACUCACCAUUCUACUUCCUAUCAUUGUGAAUUUGAGUGCUCUGGGUAUCUCAUAUGAGUGGAUCGCGGGUAGUUUUUGGCUUUUCAUGAUUGGCUUAUUUUACUUAGUACAAUAACCUCCGUGUUCAUCUGUGUUACUGUAUGCAUUGGCACUUCCUCCCU
rnacentral:lncRNA from 1 species